GAUGAACGCUAGCGGCAGGCCUAAUACAUGCAAGUCGAACGGGAUCCAGAUCAAAGCUUGCUUUGGUUUGGUGAGAGUGGCGCACGGGUGCGUAACGCGUGAGCAACCUACCCUUGUCAGGGGGAUAGCCCGGCGAAAAUCGGAUUAAUACCGCAUGACAUCAUUGAGAGGCAUCUUUCGAUGAUCAAAGAUUUAUCGGACAAGGAUGGGCUCGCGUGACAUUAGCUAGUUGGUAAGGUAACGGCUUACCAAGGCUACGAUGUCUAGGGGCUCUGAGAGGAGAAUCCCCCACACUGGUACUGAGACACGGACCAGACUCCUACGGGAGGCAGCAGUAAGGAAUAUUGGUCAAUGGACGGAAGUCUGAACCAGCCAUGCCGCGUGCAGGAAGACGGCCCUAUGGGUUGUAAACUGCUUUUAUACGGGAACAAACGUCGGUACGUGUACCGGUCUGAGUGUACCGUAAGAAUAAGGAUCGGCUAACUCCGUG
rnacentral:rRNA from 1 species